rnacentral:piRNA from 1 species
AAAGAUGAGUGUGCUAUCAAGCUUGC